AUAACUACUUGUUUACUGUGCACAUUUAAGCGAAUCCAGAGGUAACGCAACCUUUAACAUUAAAAAGACAAAACCCAGGUCUAAGAAAUUAGGCUGGGCAAUUUUAAUAAAAUUUACUGAAGCCAGUUUAAAUUUAUCAAAAGCUGGUAUAAAAAAGUUAGUUUAAUAUUGGUAUCAAUACCUGACAAUAAAAAACAGUAAAAUCAUUUAUAAGUACUUCUCUAAAAGGCGACUAGACUCAAAUAAUAUGAUUUAUGUGAUAUUAAUAUAUUUUAAGAAAUACACAGUUGGAUCUGGUUGUGGUAAUAUCUGUUGUGGUAAUAUCUGUGGUAAUAUCUGUGGUAAUAUGUAACUUAAAGAAAUGGAAGUCACUAAGUUGUCGAGAAAAGUCUUUGAGGAAACGGUAGCAGGGGAAACGGUAGCAGGGGAAAUCCUGAUGAUUAUAUUAAAAUUAUUACCCAGCAAGGAAAUAUUUACAGUCACUGAAAGAAAGUUCCAUCAGAAUAGGAACGUCCAAAACUUGUCAUGCGAAAAAAAGAACUUGCAUUACAAAAGUCAAGUUAUAUAAUGAGGAAUUUCUUCCAUAUUUUGAGAAAACAUAGUAAAAACUGAAUAAAAAACUCAAAGAGCGGUAGAAAGACCGGUUUUCAUACAGGAGCAAAAAAACGAAAAUUUAUCACAUUACAUGUGUACUAAACAGCUUUUUUCUUUUUUUUUUUUUUUUUUUGUUUAAAAAAAUGCAAACAUUGCAUUUAACGCUGAAGAUUUCUAGCUGAAAUUGAGAAGAUGUCUAGCUGAAAUUGAUAUAACGUCUAGCUGAAAUUGAGAAGAUGCUGAAAUCGAGGAUUAAAAAUAAAAUAAAUAUUUAAUAAAUGA